rnacentral:rRNA from 1 species
CGAAUGCCCAAGAGAUCGGGAUAACACCUGGAAACAGAUGCUAAUACCGGAUAACAACAGAUGAUGCCUAUCAACUGUUUAAAAGAUGGUUCUGCUAUCACUCUUGGAUGGACCUGCGGUGCAUUAGCUAGUUGGUAGGGUAACGGCCUACCAAGGCGAUGAUGCAUAGCCGAGUUGAGAGACUGAUCGGCCACAUUGGGACUGAGACACGGCCCAAACUCCUACGGGAGGCAGCAGCG